UUUCUCAAUAUGCGUACUUGUGCGUACUUGCGUUCUCGUGUACUCGUGAUACGUCAUCAGUCGGAGACCAAGUACUGUUCCAAUCCGAAGUACGCAUCAAGCUGAGAACGCAAAAAAUUCCCGGAGGUGUUCUCACUCCGCCCGUUUUAUUGAGCAUGCAUCGGUGGUGACUUGUGUGGACUUGGUACAGCUAAAUAUCCCAGAAUGCAUUUCGCAAGACCUCUGUGAAAAUGGCAGAGGAGAAGACGCAUAAUUGGACAAGUGAGGAAACACAGGCUCUCAUUGAGUGGCGGGCGGAAAAUGAGAGUCUUUUUACAGGAAAGAGAAAUUCCUGCAAGACUGGAUGGGAGUAAGUACUGACUGCUUUUGCUGCUCCCUGUUUUCUAGGGAAGGAUUAGAGGAGCAAAUCUUAUGAUAACCAGCUAUCGAAGUGACAGUGCAACAUUCUUUUCUCUCAGGGACUUUGUUAGCUCUUCAGGCCUGGCCAUAACAGUUAAGAAAGCACAAAAGAAAUGGAACAAUCUGACUUUGCCAUUUAAUAAUAGAGUAAUUGUAUCUGUGAUAAUAUAGACAUUAAUACAUAUUUUCAGGAGCUUAGGGACCCACCCACAGGCAAGGGAGUAGAGGAAGGUAGCCCGACUGCCGCCACCUGGCAGUGGUACAAAAUGAUGGAUGCUGUGCUCCAGGGGCAGCACUCAAUAAGUCCACCCCUGGUGGUUUCAGCAAACCUCACAUCCACUGCAGGUGGUGCAGUCAGCACUCCAGCCUCGUCCCCUUCUACCGAAGUGUCGAGGAAGAGCCAGAGGAAGAGGCCCAGGGACAGCCAGGCUGUACUUCAGUUUCUAAAAGACCAGGCGGAAAGAGAGGAAGAGAGAGAGAGACAGGCGCUGGCUAGGGAGGAAGAGAGGGAGAGGGCAGCUACUGAAAGGGCAGACCGAUCACUGCUGUUUGAAAAACUUGUCGAAAAAUUUUAAAUAAAGCAAUUUAAAUCUCAAUAAUGAAGUGAGGUUUUUGCUGCAUGUGUAACAGAGAAUCUCUUUAGUCAAAGUAAAACAGUUACAAUAACUUUUAACAUUGAAUUCAACCUAUACAACCGUGAGCACACAAGCAAAUAUACAAAAAAGAACACUAACUAUUUACAAGCUGAACAAAUAAAGAUGUAUUUUAACUAAUUAACUUAACUAACUAACACUAAUUUGAAAAACAAAUAUGAUUUGAAUUUACUUUUUUUUUUAACCAACAGGAGGCUUUUUCUUUUGGCCUUAGCUGCCUACAUAUCUGUUUGAGCAUGACUACAUCUUACAAAUGAAACCUUUACCUAGAUGUAGUCAUGUUCAAACAGAUAUGCAGGCAGCUGUUCAGGAGCAGACAGUCGUGCAGCAAGCCUGGCUCGGAUACAAGCUCCAGAAAGCUCCCUGUCCACGCCUGUGCAUUCUGUUUCAGCGUCUGGUCCUGCUUGUGCCGCCUCCUCCUCGUCUCCUUCUUCUUGGCAGACGUAAUCUGUUGCCACACAGAUGUUGUGGAGGAUGCAGCAAGCUCCCACAACUUUGGGAGCAAACAGAGGCCGGAUCUCAAGGGCUCGCAAGAAAAUGGAUCGCCAGCGUGUUUUGAGGAUGCCAAAGGUGCUGUGCUGCAGCCUAAACAUCUGUGAUUAAAGAGAAGCAGGUCGGAACUCUUUGCAGUCGGUACUUCAGAGUGGAUAUGCUGCCACUGGAGAGACAGAGUGGG